GGUGGUAUGGCGCAAUGGUAGCGCGUUACUUUCCGGUCUCCUGAAAUCUCAGGUUGGUAAAGGUUCUGGGUUCGAGUCCCAGUAUCAUCG